rnacentral:tRNA from 1 species
CGGGGUGUAGCGUAACUGGCUAUCGCGCUUGCUUUGGGAGCAAGAGAUUCCGGGUUCAAGUCCCGGCACCCCGA